rnacentral:rRNA from 1 species
GACGAACGCUGGCGGCAUGCCUAACACAUGCAAGUCUAGGGGUAGCAAUACCACUGGCGCACGGGUGAGUAACACGUAGGUUAUCUGCCCCCAUCACAGACAUAACCCCGGGAAACCGGGGCUAAUAUCUGAUGAGGUCGCGAGAUCAAAGCUUCGGCGGAUGGGGAUGAGCCUGCGGCUGAUUAGCUAGUUGGUGAGGUAAUGGCUCACCAAGGCGACGAUCAGUAGCUGGUCUGAGAGGACGAACAGCCACACUGGAACUGAGACACGGUCCAGACUCCUACGGGAGGCAGCAGUGAGGAAUAGUGGUCAAUGGGAGCAAUCCUGAACCAGCAAUGCCGCGUGUGGGAUGACAGGGCUUCGCCUUGUAAACCACUGUCGGACGGGACGAAAGGAGGCCUCGGGGCCUCUGGGACGGUACCGUCAAAGGAAGGGUCGGCUAACUACGUGCCAGCAGCCGCGGUAAU